ACCUUCUGGAGCAGCGGUCCCCAAACUUUUUUGCAUCACGGACCAGUUUCAUAUAAGACAUGUCCAGCCUAAUCCGUAACUUACCAAGAGACGGCUGCAGACCGGCUCCUUCAGGAAUCUCCACAUCACAAUCAGAUCCUCAGCUUCUCCUCCACACGUGACUCGACUUCCACAUGGGUCGAUUCCUGUGCGCUUCGUGCUAACCCCGCACUGAUGACACAUGGGAGCCGAGCUGAGCUGGCAGACACAUCAUCCCUUGUUAUCGGGACCGCUGGAAAGCCCCACGACCCCUGGACCCCCCUCUGAACACAGGAGAGCAGGUCACAGUGCUGGAAUUUGAACAGGUUGAUGGGAACAUUUAGGUAAAAAAAGAAAAAGAAAUAGAAAAGGCCGAGCUGUGGCGUCAUCCUUGUCCCCUCUGCUGCACAGUUUCCUUGAAGAGCGUCUGCUGGCAAACCUCCGACAACAACUCUGGAUCCUGCGCCAUGUUUUGUUUGGCCGCUGUGAUUAUUUUCAUAGAAAGAACAUCUUUAUUGAUAAAACUUUGUCUGUUGUCCGGGGCUGUUUUGUUCGCUGUUUUGUUUGGUUUGCCAGGCCGUGGCGAGAACUCUGUCUCCCUUAUGACUUGUGAAAGACACAUAAUAGUAAGAAUGAUAGCUUUGUUUCUGA